CCCACUGAGCCACCCAGGCGCCCCAGGAGUAUUUUCUUGAAAACAAGUUCAUCUUAAGUUUCCUUCCUCUUUGAUGAAUUUCUCUAUCUCCACUACUCCAAACCUGAAUGUGCAUGAAUGUAUUUCUUCAUAUUGACUAAUGUUGGGAUUUUUCUCUCCAAUCAGUUGGAAUAAAGAUUUAGACCUUGACUCCUAUAGAGUUGAUAAUGGCUGUAUAAUAAAUUACCAUAAACUUAGCAGCUUCAAACAAUACAAACUUAACUGUCUUACAGGAGGCUAGAAGCACCAGGUCAAUUUCAGUAGACGAAAGGUGUCAGCAGGAUUUGUUCCUUCUGGAGGCUCUCAAGGAGAAUCUGUUCCCUAUUCUGUCUUCUGGGGGCCCCUGCAUUCCUUGGCUGGUGAGCAGCCCUUGCUUUUAUCAUUCCAAACACAUAACUUCUGUUGUCACAUGUAAUCCUCCUUUGGUUUUCUUGCCUUCCUCUUACAGGGACCCUUGUGAGUAUAUUGAAGGCCCACCUGGAUAAUCCGGGAUCAUCUUCCCAUCUCAAAAUCCUUAAUCACAGUCGCAGGUGGCCCUUGUCAUAUAACAUAACAUAGUCACAGGUUCUGGGGAUUAGGAUGUGGCUGGGGAGAGGGCCGUUAUUCGAAAGACUCCAAAGACCUUCAUCCCUUUCACACCUUUGACCACACCUUGAACCUUGUAAUUAUUCUCCAGUGUCCUAUCCUCUGAUACAGUCCUGCAUCAUUCUAGAUCUCUUGGCCUCUAAAUGCCACUGUUCCUGUCGUUUGCCCUUACGGAGGCCUUUGCCCCUUGACAACAUUUGAAAAAAAAGUUACACUGCCUAUUGAUUUUAUCCCUUUCUCAAUGGUCCAUCUUAUCUCCAGUUCUUUGAUGAUAAACUAAGUUCCAUUACCCCUGUCCUUCACACAUGCCGGGCAAAGAGCUCCAUAUCUGAAUAAAAGUGGAAGCAAAUGUGUCAAGUGGUGAGAUUCUGAAAUCUGCAGGACUGGAAGUGGAAGAUGGGGGAAAUGGUGCUGCUGCUUUUAAUUCCUAUGUCCACUCUGAUGUCAUAAAGGGGUUCAGAGUUAGCAAUGAGGUAAGAGGGUUUUUCAGAGAUUGCUGUUCUUCUGCUGAGUCCCACCUCCACCAAAGGGGAGAAAUAGGUGGAUGGUGGGAAUCCUUCAUCUCCAGUCAAGAGGGAGGGCUUUCAAUGGGACCGUCUCUAGAGCUUGUAAUGCAUCCUCUGCAUUUGGAAAAGAAUGGACUGGGGAAUGACUUCGGGAAAAUCCGAAGGUGGUUGCUUCGUUGGCAGGUUAGGGGAGAAGUGGCUAAACUGAAUGGCUUGCAUUACACAAACUUUUCAGAAUGAAAGAUAUGUGGAUGUCUGUGGUGGGCCAGACAGGAGGCACAGGAGGGAGAAAGCCAGUGGGAUUGUCUUGGAUUCUUUCCAGAAGGACCAUCGGAAGGAGGAAAAGACGUCAGCAGACAAAAGCUAAAGGAAUCUCACAAAGAAGAGGGAAAAUCAUCAAGUAAUGGCAGCUUGAAGGGCAACUUGUGUUAUUAGCUCGUGUUUCCCUUCAAGACAAUUGCAGGAGAGUCACAGCUUUUGACGGCAGAGGCUAUUCCUGUUUCUGUUGAACAAGUGCUUCUACAGCACUGAUUUGGGCCUGAAUGGAGACAGCAUGUGUGGCCAAGUAGGUAUACCCACUGGUAUCUCUCUUUAAGACUUGUCAGGAAGCAGUGGACAGCACAGUAAGACAUGAGCUCGCAUUCACUUCCCAUCCUUCUCUAACUCACCUUCCUUUCCCUUCACUUUAUUGCCCUGGCAUUGAACUUCCCAACUAAAGUAUUAGCCUUUAAUCCUUGCCUAAAGAAUCUAGGCUAAGAGUAGUCAAACAUAGGCUUUGGAGGUCAAAUUGAAGUACCCUCUGAAUUUAUCAUCUAGGCCACUGUCCUAUGCCAUUCAUUCUAAGAGACUCUGUCCAUGGACCAGAAGCAGAACCCGGCAGCUAUGUGGGAGAUGUGGGCUCUGGUCAGGGAGACUAGUCUCCAGUGUCUCUAUGGCAAGUUUGGGAUGGGGAAUACAGAAUCAGAGGACAAAGACCUCUCCCACCAUCUUUUGUUUCCUUGCUGUUUGCCUGGACCUGCCUUGAUAAGGCUGCAUCUUCUCUCUUUUGUCUAUGCACUGGUAGGUAGGCGUACAGCCUUUAAAUCUCUUGUACUUAAAUGAUCUAAAUUCCUCUGAUGGAGCUUGAUAUCGUUCCUUCCUAAUAAACAAAAUGAUGGC